rnacentral:lncRNA from 1 species
UAGAAAAAAUCAGCUCUUUAUUACCAUGGAAAUUAUUACAAGGAUACAUGGAUUACAUUGCCCUGGCGAUACUACACCUGCAUACGGUAAAUCCUACGCUAGCAGCGGAACAACGACCGAUGUGAUGAACUCCACUCCACAGGGACUCUGGCUGGAACGCACAUCCUAGCUCGCAACUCGGAAUCCUCGACAAUCAAGCAAUCAAGACAUGACCUGCAAUCUAGCAUGACAAGCCAGGUGAGUACUUUGAAUGUACUCGCAAGCUCACAACAAACAUUAGCAUUAAGGCAAGACAACAUCAUAGAAAUCAGGAUAAAGUAAAGAUCUGUUAUUACUAAAGGAGUAGCAGAGAACUAACUAUACCAGGCUACUCUCACCGUACUCGGGUGAUACCAACUCAUGUGAUCUUACCAAGAUCCUUUAGCGAGUAUCCUCAAGACGGAUACCAAGACUUAUCAUCGGCAUGAUGCCCUACUGUUACAUACUCAGACGAGCUCUUCCAUCAUUACUAUCAUAGUUACGGUUGACCACCUACUGAGGUCUGGUCGGGCUGUCCAAUACCGUGGACUCGGCUAUUCGAAUAGGUUUGACACUCUGGAGAGGUUGCACACUUUACCCAUACUAUGGAGCACUGACCUCGUGAUCCCAUUCGGGUGGACCACCAUUGCUCCAACGAAACUUGUCUGAUCCGUGACUCUUUCAUUGUACCACCGGCAUUCAUCCUCCCCCGGAGUCCUUCCCUGGGUGGCCCUCUGUCCUCAUGACACCUGCCACCGUCGUGACCAAACUAAACUGUCCCAACCGGGGACGCCGGCUCAAACAACUCAACUGGCUCACAGGGUUAUCAUCGCCUACCGGGACAAGGUAGCACGCGUGCAUAACCCUCCCUCUUUGGAGGUACCGGUGAAAGAGCACGCAAUCGGACCAAGUCAAGGCCGCCCCAUGUCGGCAAAUGUGGUUGCACUGAUGAGCCCGGACAAGUGACUCUGAUCAACCAACUAUGUAUCUUAUCCCAAAUAAUAUGUUUGUCAUAGCUGACACUUCGACGUCACAAUAAUCUGAUAAAUAAUAAGCUCAAGCCAGUACUGUUGAUCCAUAUUCAGAAAGUAAUCAUAUACAGUAAUCUCAACCUCAUGUUAUCGACUAGUGUGUAAGACACUAGUCACUAACGAUCCCGUACUCAUCUCAGUAAUAAUAUAUUUAACAGUGCAUACUCACAUUCCAGACUAUAAACAGAUAUAUUAAUUAUUAAAAUAGUUAGUUAGACUAUGAUAUUGCAAUUCAAUGAAGCAAAUGAAAGUUGUGGCUUGCCUGGGAUGAGGGAACCACCGGGAAGAAGCGCGAGAAGCCCGCGGAAGGAAAUGCCGGAAACAGUUCUCUCUCGAAGGAGGGGCUGUUUACGACAAGGGCAACAUGGUCAUUUCCACUGUGUGAUCACAUGGUGGAAAUGAUACCAUCUUGUCGGGCUCGAUGAUACGAAUACGCGGGCUUUGGAAUCACUGGAAUCGGAGCUACGGGUAAAAAGAUAUGAGGGUUUUGGUGCUAGGGACUAUUCUCCAAUAAAGUUUUUUACAUCCGGGUCCAUGGCAGCUAAGUUGGUCGCGCACUCAGGGAUAAUAUGAUUUCCCUAGGGGAAAGCGUAAACGCUCCCGAGGCGUUUCCACUUAAACUGCGCGGGCCCGGGGUUGACUCUCUCUUUCUCUAUGACGGGUGGGGCCCGCCUUAUCCACUCCCCUUUCUCUCACUUACAUGCGGGCCCUGCCCCCUUCUCUCUCUCUCCUCCUGGCGUCGCUCCUUCCUGCUCGCGACAGGGAACAGAGGAGGAGCGGGGCGCUCGGCCGUCGACGGCCUGGUCGGCUCCGGCCACCUCCGGCCAUGGCGAGGCCACCAGUGGGACAAGGACGAUGCGCCUCGUCCGCAUGGACCUACCGCAGGCGCCGAGGAGCAGCGGGACGACCGCACCGCGCCAUGGCUGCAAGCAGAGGCGGCGGUCGAGCAGGGAGCCGCGACCACGCCUACUCCGGUGAUGGGUCCGACCAGGAGAGCAUGCGGGAAAGAGAGGUGGAACUGCCCUCUCAUCCGAAACGAG